CGCGUAUCCACUGGCCUGCUUCUCCCCACAAACCGUCACGUCACACACGGGCUGCCCCACACCUCACACUCGGAGCAGUACGCAGGGCACGUAUGACAAGUCACGUCCCACAGCCACAAAAACUCACAGACGAGGGUCCGGUCCUAGGCCGCCUGACGAGGCCAAAGUUGAGGGGUCGAAAGGCCGGGCUGCAGGCAUAACUGGAGCCAAGUACCGAACUACACAUCCCAGAAGCCACUGCUGCCGGAGUCCAAUCACAGCCCGGAUCCGUCUUCCCAGCAUCCCUUGGGCGACCGGCCCUUUAGAAUGGGCGGGCCGUGGCUCCUUCGCCUCUGGACCAUAUUUCCCAGAAGGGACUGCGGGUCCCUGUGGGUCUGGCGCCUCCGGGUUCCUCAGGCUGGGCCGGAGACUGAGCUCCAGGCGUCCGGGGCGGGACCCAUGCGGCGUCUCUGCGCCAUCUUGCGUCAGAGCGAUUGUCGCGUGUGAGGGCGAGCGGGAGGCCCUUCCGGUCCGCAGCGCGGGAGCUCCUUGGCCAACACGAUUAGCCCUGAGCUAACAUCUACUGCCAAUCCUCCUCUUUUUGCUGAGGAAGACUGGCCCUGAGCUAACAUCCCUGCCCAUCUUCCUCUACUUUAUAUGUGGGACGCCUGCCACAGCAUGGCUUGACAAGCGGUGCCAUGUCCGCACCCGGGAUCUGAACCUGCGAACCCCCAGCCACCAAAGCGAACGUGCCAACUUAACUGCUGCAGGACCAGGCCAGCCCCAAUAGCAGUUUUUUAAAUUUGCAUUUUCCUUAGGAAGAGGACUGUAGUUGUAUGAAUUCUCGAAGGUCUCUGAGCCUCCCCCGUAUACGGUCAGAGAACACUCGAGCCCGACAGAAGUUAAAGCGGAAAAGGCAAGUUUUAUUCAGAAAUUAUUGCCAUAUGGAAGAGAGAGCUCAGCACAGAACUGGGCUCCACUCCGAAUAUAAGAGCAAGUAGGGAUCUUAGCCAAGGAGAGGGCAGAGGUCAGUGGAUGGAGAAUUACUAUGAAAACAUCAAGGAUAAGGGGAGAUUUUGGCUAAAGGGACUCAAUAGGAUUCUUUCUGAAGGCGGCCAGUGCUAUUGAAGGUGAGGGAUGAGGAAUCUGAUCAGAUAUCAUGGGUGGGGGAUUUUUGCUAAACUGACCUAGCAGAAUUCUUGCUAAAACUGGACUAAUUGGGCCAAGGACAGAGCCCAAGACUGGGGCCUUGAGGGCUUAGAGAAGCUUGACUAGAGUUAGUUCAACGAGAGAGCGAGACAUCUAUAUGGGUGUAUCAAUAGAUCCGAUACAGAUAUUUAUGAAUAUAGAUCUCUAUGUGUCUAUAUUUAUGUGUAAACGUUUGUUGAUCACCAUGUAGCAAGCACUGUAAUAAGAGCUUUGCAUAGUAUAACUCAAUUCUCACAGCACCCCUCUGAGGUAACUAGUGUCAUCAAUCCACUGUAAAGAGCGGGGAACUGAGGCAUAGAGAAGUUGAGGAUCCUGGUGCAGCUGCCAUUCCAACCCCAGGCAGUCUCACUCUAGUUUGUGCUCUUAAUAUACCAUCU
ensembl:lncRNA